GCUUCCGUGGCCUAAUGGGUUAAGGCGUUCGGCUGUUAAUUUCGCAACCGAAAGAUUGGAAGUUCGAGUCUUCCCGGGAGCG